UUUCUCUCUGCACAUUACUGCUCACUUCUUUUCUCACUACUGCUCUGUGUUUACAUUAUUUUCCAACUGGUAUGUAUCUUAUUUAAGUUAGAGCCUAAAAAACAACAUGCUUUUAGUGUUGCUGCACUUUCUUUUGUUCCUUGUGUGUUUCUACCUUUGGUUCUGCUACUCCUAUUGCAACUAACAUGCAUCUGUGUUGAUCAAUAAGCA
rnacentral:lncRNA from 1 species